rnacentral:misc_RNA from 1 species
ACACCUCAACUCUCAUGGCUUGCCAUGAUGAGCUUGGACCAUGGGGGUCUUGCUGGCCUGCAGUCGGCUCCCCUCAAAUGAAUCAGCUUGCCAGUGUUUGGUGGCGUCACAGGUGUGAUAACUAUCUACGCUUGUGGCUUUCCGCCAGGUAACCUUCAGCAAUGGAGGUUCGCUGGGGCUCAUAAAUGUCUCUCCUCAGUGAGGACAGCUCUUUGAAC